UAUAAAUAACUUGUUAAUUUAAAUGAUGAAUAAAGAAGUAUGAAAAAUAUUUUUUAUUACAAUUUGUUAGUAAUUUUAAUUGAAAAAUAAUUAUAAACUAGAGUAUAAAGUACUGUGGGGGAAAGUUAAUAAAAUUUUUUAUAGUAAAAGUGAAAUUUUGUGCCUUGUGUAUCAGAAAAAAUUUAUAUAAUUCAAUUAUUUUGAAUAUCUCGAAAUAAAAUAUAGUGAUUUUUAUAAAAUUUUUUUUUUCGAAAAAAAAAAUUUAAUGUAAAAUUAAAAGUGAAAUGCUAGUUGAGUUUUAUUAUAUCUAGUUUUUUUAAAAUAAAUUAAAUUUGAUUUUUGCAUUCAAUUAUUGUAAAAUUUAAUGGUAGGAGGGAUUAGCUUCUUAUGAGAUGAAAAUAAAAUAGCGAAGUAAAAUAAAAUAAUAUAAAUUAGGCUUAGAAGUAGUCAUAUUAGAAAAGUGUUUUAACUAAAUUAUAAUUAUUAAAAUAUUUUUAGUAGCUUUUUUAUAAUAUGAAAAAAUUUAUUAAAAUUGUUAAGUUUAGAUAAAAUGAUUUUAUUAGUAAAAUUUAUUGAGAAUAAUAAUAAUAAAAUAUUAAAAAAAAAUUAAAAUAAUAAAUAUUGAUAUAAAGGAAUUCGGCCAAAAAUUUCUUUGCCUGUUUAUCAAAAACAUGUCUUUUUGUUAGUAAAAAAAGUCAAGCCUGCCCACUGAUAAAUUUUAAGGGCCGCGGUAUUUUGACCGUGCGAAGGUAGCGUAAUCAUUAGUUUUUUAAUUGGAAUCUUGUAUGAAUGGUUAGACAAGAGAAAAUCUGUCUCUUUAUUAGAGAUUGAAUUUAACUUUUAAGUGAAAAGGCUUAAAUAAAUUAAAGGGACGAUAAGACCCUAUAAAGCUUAAUAUAGAAUUACUAUUUAAUUAAAUUUAUGUGUAUAAAAGUUUUAUAGUAUAAAUUAUUUUGUUGGGGUGAUAAAAGUAAAAUUUUUACUAACUGCUUAAAUAAUAAAACAUUAAUAAUUGAAAUAAGUUAAUAAAAGAUCCUAAAUAAAGAUUAAAAGUUUAAGUUACUUUAGGGAUAACAGCGUUAUUUUUUUUGAGAGCACAAAUCGAAAAAAGAGUUUGCGACCUCGAUGUUG
rnacentral:rRNA from 1 species